rnacentral:rRNA from 1 species
UGGGGAAUAUUGCGCAAUGGGCGAAAGCCUGACGCAGCAACGCCGCGUGAGGGAUGAAAUAUUUCGGUAUGUAAACCUCGCAAAUAUGGGAAGAACACAAUGACGGUACCAUAUGUAAGCCACGGCUAACUUCGUGCCAGCAGCCGCGGUAAUACGAAGGUGGCAAGCGUUGUUCGGAAUUACUGGGCGUAAAGCGCGUGUAGGCGGCUCUUCAAGUCAGACGUGAAAGCCCCAGGCUCAACCUGGGAACUGCGUUUGAUACUGUCGAGCUAGAGUGUGGAAGGGGCAAUCGGAAUUCCGUGUGUAGCGGUGAAAUGCGUAGAUAUACGGAGGAACACCAGAGGCGAAGGCGGAUUGCUGGGCCAACACUGACGCUGAGACGCGAAAGCCAGGGUAGCAAACGGGAUUAGAUACCCCAGUAGUCCCUGAGCGGGCUGGCAAGGCGCAU